UGGGGGUGGCGGGAAGCGGCGUGUGACAGCUGUACUCCUCUGACAGCUCCCGGGAUCAGCCUAGUGGCUCCCUGCCAUUGGCUCAGUGCAAUGGACCGGCAACGCUGCGCGGUAUAACAACACUAUGCCUGUGAGAGGCAGCAGCUCAGACUCCUUCAGCAAAGCCACGGAGAUGCUGCUGCCGCUGCGCCGCCGCCUCCGCCUCCUCCUCCAGCCAGCGCUGCCCUGAGACCGCGGGAGACUCUGGACCGUGCCCCCGGGCUCCUGCAAUUCCUGUGUGUCUCCCCCGCCCCCGCAGCCCGCGAGGGGAGGGGACCGAGCUCUGCCAGGCGGAGGAGUUGGGCGGCUGGGUUAAUUGCCGAGAUUAGCCGGAGGUGGUGUACAUGCCGGUGGGGCUCUGCUUCCUCCGAUCCCCUCAGCACAGCACCGUCACUCCGCCCGCCCUGGGUCUGCCUGAGCUGCCGGCACUGGGGUGCAUGGACACGGCUGCGGUGGAGGCGGCGGCUGCCCCAUGGAGUGUUACUACAUUGUCAUCAGCUCCACGCACCUCAGCAAUGGGCACUUUCGCAACAUCAAGGGAGUUUUCCGAGGGCCCCUCAGCAAGAACGGGAACAAAACUCUGAGACACAAAAGACAAUGGGGAUUAGAAACAAGUAGCCUGGAUCACAGCUGAGUACCUUCGGUGUCUAACUUCCAAAAUCUCUGAGGUGUAUUAGCCGCGGAAGAUUUAAUUGCUUGCAAGCAUUGACGCUGUCAGAGAAUUAGAUGACCCGCAUGGAAGAAGGAGGACUCUUACACCAGCAAAAGGAUGAACAUUUAAGAGACGUCUAGGCCUCUUUGGCCAUUUGUGAGACAGACUGCAUCAAAAAGCCAUUUUGCUUUAAUCUGAUAAUACACCUCUACCCCAAUAUAACACGACCCGAUAUAACAUGAAUUCAGAUAUAACGCGGUAAAGCAGCACUCCCGGGGGGCGGAGCUGCGCACUCCGGUGGAUCAAAGCAAGUUCGAUAUAACACGGUUUCACCUAUAACACAGUAAGAUUUUUUUGGCUCCCAAGGACAGCGUUAUAUCAGGGUAGAGGUGUAUAAGAAAACAUUUAAAUAGUAUAAUGAGCAGGAAGAGUUAGAAAUUCAGGGAUUGUCUACAUUGCUGGAACUAAAAGAUCAGAUCAUAUAGCACAUUAGUACCCUCGAGAAGGAGUAAACUGAAAAAAUCAAGUAGACAGUUCAGAAGAGUAUGCUGAGAAAAUUAAAGUUGCUUGAAAUACAUUAUUUUUCAGGAAAGCAUGAAAUUAAAAACAAAGAC
rnacentral:lncRNA from 1 species